AGGGAAAUAGCUCAGUGGUAGAGCACAUGCUUAGCAUGCAUGAGGUCCUGAGUCCCCAGUACCUCCA
rnacentral:tRNA from 1 species